rnacentral:rRNA from 1 species
CACGUAGGGGGCAAGCGUUGCCGGAUUCAUUGGGCGUAAAGAGCUCGUAGGCGGUUCGAUAAGUCGGGUGUGAAACCUCCAGGCUCAACCUGGAGACGCCACCCGAUACUGUCGUGACUAGAGUCCAGUAGGGGAGCGUGGAAUUCCUGGUGUAGCGGUGAAAUGCGCAGAUAUCAGGAGGAACACCAGCGGCGAAGGCGGCGCUCUGGGCUGGAACUGACGCUGAGGAGCGAAAGCGUGGGGAGCGAACAGG